rnacentral:lncRNA from 1 species
CAAGAAUUGACCUCAACUUGGAUUAGCAGUCUUUGUCAGAUGUAACUAUACCAAUUCUUUUUUCCUUCCCUUGAGAUAGAGCCAGAAGAGAAAAGAAGAUCCAUCUGCCCAUAUCUGUUGCUCAAAAUCAACUGGGUAUUUCUUUGUGAAACAGGGCAUCUAAAUGUACCAGCAAGUUUUCUAGAGGGACAAAUCCAACAUAUGUCAAUGCUGGAGAUUUGGGACUUCAACAGACCUAUGGGGACGCCAUUAGCAAUUUCUCUUAGACUGAUUGGAUCUCUGCAAUCCCUCCAUUCAGUUUAACAACUUUAGUAGUAAACAAUGAAUGAAUCUCACUUGUGGUG